GGCAACCUGUUGGGGUUGUUUUCUACAGUGUGGAAGCUUUGUUUUUUUUCCUCUUUGCAAUCAAUCUAGCUGCUGCUCACUCUUUGGGUCCGCCAUUGCCUUUAUGGGCUGUUAACGCUCACCGCGAAGGUCUGCAGCUUCCCUCCUGAAGCCAGCGAAACCACGAACCGACCGGGAGGAGCGAAUAACUCCAGACGCGCCACCUUAAUAGCUGUAACAGUCACCUCGAAGGUCCGCAACUUCACUCCUAAGCCAGCGAGAUCACGAACCCCACCAGAAGGAAGAAAUUCCGAACAUAUCCGCACAUCAGAAGGCACAAAUUCCGGACACGCCGCCUUUAAGAACUGUAACACUCACAGCGAGGGUCCGCGGCUUCAUUCUUGAAGUCAGUGAGACCAAGAACCCGCCAAUUCCGGACACACUAUGAUCAUACCACUGCACUCCAGCCUGGAGUACAAGGUGAGACACUGCCUCAAAAAAAAAAAAAAAGAAAAAACCCACAGAUAUUAUUAGUCCUUCCACUAUUAUACAAACGGUUCCCACUACUCCUUCUGCAUCUUUCAGGAUGAAGUUUAACUGGAGAGUAUCCUGAGAUUGCAAGAUAAGGUUUUCUUUUAAUGUUUAUAAUUUACUAUUAGCUGCAUCAAUCAGGAUUUUUCUCCAUUCUGUGCAACCAACGCAAAGAAAAGGUCUAAGUAGACUGCUGAGGCUGAAAAAAUACUGCAGACUUAAUCCACGACCCCCAAAUUUUAUGUGUAGCCAUUCUCCUUUUAUUAUUUGCUAGUUUUAUUUAAAGUUGCUAUACAUUUGAAACUUUGUUUUUUUUUUUUAACUUUCAAGUUCAGGGGUACAUGUGCAGGUUUAUUACAUAGGUAAACUUCUGUAAUGGGGGGUUUGUUGUAUAGAUUAUUUCAUCACCCAGGUAUUAAGCUUGAUACCCAUUAGUUAUUUUUCCUAAUCCUCUCCUUCCUCCCACCCUCCACCCUCCAAUAGGUCCCAGGGUGUCUUGUUUCCCCCAUGUGUCCAUGUGUUCUCAUCAUUUAGCUCCCACUUAUAAGUGAGAACAUGCGGUAUUUUUUUCUGUUCCUGCAUUAGUUUGCUAAGGAUAAUGGCUUCCAGCUCCAUCCAUGUUCCUGCAAAGAACAUUAUCUCAUUCUUCUUCAUGGCUGCAUUGUAUUCCAUGGUGUAUAUGAACCACAUUUUCUUUAUGCAGUCUACUACUGAUGGGCAUUUAGGUUGGUUUCAUGUCUUUGCCAUUGUGGACAGUGCUGCAGUGAACAUACAUGCAUGUGUCUUUAUGAUAGAACAAUGUAUCAACAUAUUCUUUUGGGUUUAUACCUAGUAAAUGGGAUUGCUGGGUCGAAUUGUAUUUCUGUUUUUAGGUCUUUGAGGAAUUGCCACACUGUCUUCCACAAUGGUUGAACUAAUUUCCACUUCCACCAAAAGUGUAUAAGCGUUCCUUUUUCUACACAAACUUGCCAAUCUUCGUUGUUUUUUCACGUUUUAAUAAUAGCCAUUCUGACUGGUGUGAGAUGGUAUCUCAUUGUGAUUUUGAUUUGCAUUUCUCUAAUGAUGAGUGAUGUUGACCAUUUUUCAUAUGAUGCCCACAUGUAUGUCUUCUUUUGAAAAUUAUCUGUUCGGCUGGGCACGGUGGCUCACGCCUGUAAUCCCAGCACUUU
rnacentral:lncRNA from 1 species